AUGAACGUGUUCUGGGUCACCGGUGUGUCCACGGGAAUGAUUGCUCCUGAACAGGAGAAGGUGUUCAGGGAGGCAACCACUGUGUUUCUCAGACCAGUUGUUAGCGUGAUCGGAGAUAAAUUGGUCGACGCAUAUUUGCAUGUGCAUGUCGCCAAGGACUUGUGGGAGGCGCUCGAAUCUAAGUUCGGGGCCGCCGAUGCAGGGAGCGAGAUGUAUAUUGUAGAGCAGUUCCAUGAUUACAAGAUGGUUGAGAACCGUCCUGUACUGGAGCAGGCUCAUGAGAUAAUAUGCGUUGUUAAGGAGCUUGAGCUUCUGAAGUGCGAGUUACCGGGCAAGUUUGUCGCGGGCUGCCUAAUCGCUAAGCUCCCUAAUUCCUGGAGGAACUUUGCCACCACUCUGAAACAUCAGAGGCGUGAACUCUCUAUGGAGGAUGUCAUUGGCCAUCUGAGUGUUGAGCAGAAUUCGAGGGCAAAGGACUCGCACGGAAAAGGGGCCGAAGGGACUUCUGUUGCCAACAUGGUGAACCAGAGGAACUUCAACUCCCACAAGCCCAAGGGAAAGAAUGGUGUCCAACAGAAUACCGACUUCAAGAAGGGUAAGAAGACCUUCAAGAAGAACAAGAAGGAUGAGGGCUGCUUUACUUGUGGUUCGGUUGAACAUUGGGCCAACAAGUGCCCAAACAAGUUUAAGAAGUCAGGACAAGACUCCAAGUCCGUCAACAUGAUUGUGGGCAACAAUGAGAAUGGUGCAUCUGGGUCACAGGCCACGGGUCCGUAUUGA
rnacentral:rRNA from 1 species